GAAUGUAGCUCAAUGGUAGAGUGCUUGCCUAUCAUGCACAAGACUCCGGGUUCAAGCCCCAGCAACA
rnacentral:tRNA from 1 species